rnacentral:SRP_RNA from 1 species
GGCGUGGGUAGGGCCAGGAGGGUCGCCGCCUCCUCUAGCCGAAGGCGUAAAGCGGGGCCAGUAACUCUCUGCGGUGCAGGAGACCUCAACAGCUGCCCUGAGGUUUGCGAUGAAGCCCGCCCCGUGGGGUCGGCGGUGGCGGAGCGUUCCUCGGAGGGGGAACGCCAACCGCCUUUACAGGGGGAACCGGCCAGGCCCGGAAGGGAGCAACCUAACCCCUGACGCCGACGUUCACGGGUCACCGGGUGGAGGACGGCCUCAGGAGCCGGUUGUUGAGAGUCCCCGCACCGCAGAGGGGGCCACGCC